rnacentral:rRNA from 1 species
AGAGUUUGAUCCUGGCUCAGAUUGAACGCUGGCGGCAGGCCUAACACAUGCAAGUCGAGCGGUAACAGGUCCAGCUUGCUGGAUGCUGACGAGCGGCGGACGGGUGAGUAACGCAUAGGAAUCUACCCGGUAGUGGGGGAUAACCUGGGGAAACCCAGGCUAAUACCGCAUACGUCCUACGGGAGAAAGGGGGCUUCGGCUCCCGCUAUUGGAUGAGCCUAUGCCGGAUUAGCUGGUUGGUGAGGUAAUGGCUCACCAAGGCGACGAUCCGUAGCUGGUCUGAGAGGAUGAUCAGCCACAUCGGGACUGAGACACGGCCCGAACUCCUACGGGAGGCAGCAGUGGGGAAUAUUGGACAAUGGGGGCAACCCUGAUCCAGCCAUGCCGCGUGUGUGAAGAAGGCCCUCGGGUUGUAAAGCACUUUCAGCGAGGAAGAACGCCUGUCGGUUAAUACCCGGUAGGAAAGACAUCACUCGCAGAAGAAGCACCGGCUAACUCCGUGCCAGCAGCCGCGGUAAUACGGAGGGUGCAAGCGUUAAUCGGAAUUACUGGGCGUAAAGCGCGCGUAGGUGGCUUGAUAAGCCGGUUGUGAAAGCCCCGGGCUCAACCUGGGAACGGCAUCCGGAACUAUUAGGCUAGAGUGCAGGAGAGGAAGGUAGAAUUCCCGGUGUAGCGGUGAAAUGCGUAGAGAUCGGGAGGAAUGCCAGUGGCGAAGGCGGCCUUCUGGACUGACACUGACACUGAGGUGCGAAAGCGUGGGUAGCAAACAGGAUUAGAUACCCUGGUAGUCCACGCCGUAAACGAUGUCGACCAGCCGUUGGGUGCCUAGCGCACUUUGUGGCGAAGUUAACGCGAUAAGUCGACCGCCUGGGGAGUACGGCCGCAAGGUUAAAACUCAAAGGAAUUGACGG